rnacentral:rRNA from 1 species
AGAGUUUGAUCAUGGCUCAGAGCGAACGCUGGCGGCAGGCCUAAUACAUGCAAGUCGAGCGGGUCCUUCGGGAUUAGCGGCGGACGGGUGAGUAACGCGUGGGAACGUGCCCUUUGGUACGGAACAACUGAGGGAAACUUCAGCUAAUACCGUAUGUGCCCUUCGGGGGAAAGAUUUAUCGCCAUUGGAGCGGCCCGCGUUGGAUUAGGUAGUUGGUGAGGUAAAAGGCUCACCAAGCCUACGAUCCAUAGCUGGUCUGAGAGGAUGACCAGCCACACUGGGACUGAGACACGGCCCAGACUCCUACGGGAGGCAGCAGUAGGGAAUCUUGCGCAAUGGGCGAAAGCCUGACGCAGCCAUGCCGCGUGAAUGAUGAAGGUCUUAGGAUUGUAAAAUUCUUUCACCGGGGACGAUAAUGACGGUACCCGGAGAAGAAGCCCCGGCUAACUUCGUG